GACGAACGCUGGCGGCGUGCUUAACACAUGCAAGUCGAACGGAAAGGCCCUGCUUUUGUGGGGUGCUCGAGUGGCGAACGGGUGAGUAACACGUGAGUAACCUGCCCUUGACUUUGGGAUAACUUCAGGAAACUGGGGCUAAUACCGGAUAGGAGCUCCUGCUGCAUGGUGGGGGUUGGAAAGUUUCGGCGGUUGGGGAUGGACUCGCGGCUUAUCAGCUUGUUGGUGGGGUAGUGGCUUACCAAGGCUUUGACGGGUAGCCGGCCUGAGAGGGUGACCGGCCACAUUGGGAAUGAGAAACGGCCCAGAUCCCGACGGGGGGCAGCAGGGGGGAAUUUUGCACAAGGGGCGGAAGCCUGAUGCAGCAACGCCGGGGGGGGGAGGAGGGCCUUCGGGUUGUAAACCGCUUUCGCCUGGGACGAAGCGGGAGUGACGGUAAUGGGAAAAGAAGCACCGGCUAACUACGU
rnacentral:rRNA from 1 species